GACGAACGCUGGCGGCGUGCCUAAUACAUGCAAGUAGGACGCAGUUGCGAGCGGGUGAGUAACGCGUAGGUAAAUACCUAUGAGAGGGGGAUAACUAUUGGAAACGAUAGCUAAUACCGCAUACUAGUAGAUGGAGCUGCGUUGUAUUGGCUAGUAUGUAGGGUAAUAGCCUACCUAGGCAAAGAAAAAUAGCCGACCUUGAGGGGGGAACGGCCAACCGGGGACUGGGAAACGGCCCAGAACCCUACGGGAGGCAGCAGUUGGGAAUCUUCGGAAAUGGGGGGAACGCUGACCGAGCAACGCCGGGUGAGUGAAGGAGGUUGUCGGAGCGUAAAGGUCUGUUGAUAAGGAAGCGUUACCUAAACAGAAAGGGACGGCUAACUACGUGCCAGCAGCCGCGGUAAUAC
rnacentral:rRNA from 1 species